GUCGCGCUACAUGCAAGUCGAACGCACUCUCGCUUUAGAUUGAAGGAGCUUGCUCCUGAUUGAUAAACAUUUGAGUGAGUGGCGGACGGGUGAGUAACACGUGGGUAACCUGCCCUAAAGUGGGGGAUAACAUUUGGAAACAGAUGCUAAUACCGCAUAAAACCUAACACCGCAUGGUGUAGGGUUGAAAGAUGGUUUCGGCUAUCACUUUAGGAUGGACCCGCGGUGCAUUACUUAGUUGGUGAGGUAAAGGCUCACCAAGACCGUGAUGCAUAGCCCGACCUGAGAGGGUAAUCGGCCACAUGGGACUGACAACGGCCCAGACUCCUACGGGAGGCAGCAGUAGGGAAUCUUCCACAAUGGACGAAAGUCUGAUGGAGCAACGCCGCGUGAGUGAAGAAGGUUUUCGGAUCGUAAAACUCUGUUGUUGGAGAAGAAUGUAUCUGAUAGUAACUGAUCAGGUAGUGACGGUAUCCAACCAGAAAGCCACGGCUAACUACGUGCCAGCAGCCGCGGUAAUACGUAGGUGGCAAGCGUUGUCCGGAUUUAUUGGGCGUAAAGCGAGCGCAGGCGGUUUCUUAAGUCUGAUGUGAAAGCCUUCGCUCAACCGAAAAUGCAUCGGAAACUGGGAAACUUGAUGCAAAAGACAGUGGAACUCCAUGUGUACGUGAAAUGCUAAUAUAUGGAAGAACACCAUGGCGAA
rnacentral:rRNA from 1 species